CGGCAUCACCUUCGAGGCCGCGGCGGCGGAGGGUGCGAAAGCAAAGGCGGAGAAGGCAGAGAAGGCGGAGAAGGCAGAGAAGGCCCAGAACAAGAAGCGGAAGUGAUGAUGCU
rnacentral:SRP_RNA from 1 species